CAUUAUUGAAUGAACUUGGUGUGGUUGUUGCUGGCCCUUUCGGGGGCAUGUGCACACCCACCAUCCUCAUCUCUCCACCUGUGCACCUCUUGUAGACUUGGAUUGACUUUCCCGAGGCAACUCGGUCGGGGAGGACUUGCUGGCGCUAGCUGGCUUUCCUUGCAUUUCCAAGUCUACGUUUUUCAUAUACCCCAUUGAAUGUAACAGAAUGUAACAUUGGGCCCUUGUGCCUAUAAAAACUUAUACAACUUUCAGCAACGGAUCUCUUGGCUCUCGCAUCGAUGAAGAACGCAGCGAAAUGCGAUAAGUAAUGUGAAUUGCAGAAUUCAGUGAAUCAUCGAAUCUUUGAACGCACCUUGCGCUCCUUGGUAUUCCGAGGAGCAUGCCUGUUUGAGUGUCAUUAAAUUCUCAACCAUUAUUAGCUUGUGCUGAUAAUGGCUUGGAUAUGGGGGUUUAUUUUGCUGGCUUCUUCACAGAUUGUCAGCUCCCCUUAAAUGCACCAGCCGGUGCCCCGCGUGGACUGUCUAUUGGUGUGAUAAUUAUCUACGCCGUGGACAUCUACAAUCAUAUGGGUUUGCACUGCUUCCAACCGUCUGUUUAUUCAGACAAUACAUGACAAUUUG
rnacentral:rRNA from 1 species